UCCUUAGAUGUUCUGGGCCGCACGCGCGCUACACUGUUCGACGCAGCGAGUCUUAACCUUGACCGAAAGGUUUGGGUAAUCUUCAGCAAAGUCGAACGUGAUGGGGAUCGAUCAUUGCAAUUAUUGAUCGUGAACGAGGAAUUCCUAGUAAGUGCAAGUCAUCAGCUUGCGCUGAUUACGUCCCUGCCCUUUGUACACACCGCCCGUCGCUACUACCGAUUGAAUGGUUUAGUGAGAUCUCUGGAUUGACGCUGGCUAGGGGGCGACCCUUGGCCAGGCUGUCGAGAAACUGCUCAAACUUGAUCAUUUAGAGGAAGUAAAAGUCGUAACA
rnacentral:rRNA from 1 species